rnacentral:rRNA from 1 species
GACGAACGCUGGCGGCGUGCCUAACACAUGCAAGUCGAGCGGGGUUGAAGCGAGGGGUAACUCGAGUUUCUACCUAGCGGCGGACGGGUGAGUAACGCGUGGGCAACCUGCCUCAAGGACUGGGAUAACAGCUCGAAAGGGCUGCUAAUACCGGAUAAGCCUAUGGCCUCGCAUGGGGCCAUGAGCAAAGGGGAAACCCGCCUUGAGAUGGGCCCGCGUCCCAUCAGCUAGUUGGUGAGGUGAAGGCUCACCAAGGCGACGACGGGUAGCCGGCCUGAGAGGGUGACCGGCCAUACUGGGACUGAGACACGGCCCAGACUCCUACGGGGGGCAGCAGUGGGGAAUCUUGCACAAUGGGCGAAAGCCUGAUGCAGCGACGCCGCGUGAGCGAAGAAGGCCUUCGGGUUGUAAAGCUCUGUCUGGAGGGACGAAGGAAGUGACGGUACCUCCGGAGGAAGCCACGGCUAACUACGUG